AAUUGCUUUUGUUUGUGGAAACACCACGUAAAUUUAUUACUGCAGUAAUAAAUUUACGUGGUGUUUCCACAAACAAAAGCAAUUAU